rnacentral:rRNA from 1 species
UCGGGAAUUUUGGGCAAUGGGUGAGAGCCUGAUCCAGCCAUGCCGCGUGCAGGAAGAAGGCGUUAUGCGUUGUAAACUGCUUUUGCCAGGGGAUAAAAUGACCGUGCGCGGUUAAUUGAAGGUACCUGGUGAAUAAGCCACGGCUAACUACGUGCCAGCAGCCGCGGUAAUACGUAGGUGGCAAGCGUUGUCCGGGAUUUAUUGGGUUUAAAGGGUGCGUAGGUGGCCCUGUAAGUCAGUGGUGAAAUAUCUCAGCUUAACUGAGAGGGUGCCAUUGAUACUGCAGGGCUUGAGUACAGAUGAGGUAGGCGGAAUUGACGGUGUAGCGGUGAAAUGCAUAGAUAUCGUCAAGAACACCGAUAGCGAAGGCAGCUUACCAAGCUGUAACUGACACUGAGGCACGAAAGUGUGGGGAUCAAACAGGAUUAGAUACCCCCGUAGUCCCUGAGCGGGCUGGCAAGGCGCAU